ensembl:lncRNA
GUUAAAACGAUAGCAGUGCAGCCGCUGCCUUGACCCAGCAGUCAUGGUGAUGACCAUUUCCCUCUCCUCUGAAGCCAGUGGCUCCCUUUGCUGUGGUUGCUCUCCUUCCUGCCCACCCUGCAUCGCUUUGCAGUGCACUGAAGAAAUGUGCUGUCUUCCAAGUCUCACAUAAAUGUGACAUCGGACACAGGAGGGAGUCCAGAGGAAAAUCCUCGGCAGAGCUGAGCAAGGGUGCAAGAUAUAAUACCUUCAAUAUAACAAACAUCACAAGAUACUUGGUUCAGUUCAGGGUAAAUAUGGAUGAGAAAACAUUGAUAUAUGCAAAAUUACUCAAAGUCCAUUCACUUCCUACAUAUGUAGAAAUCCUGACAUCAAAAUGUUUGAGAAUUGCUGAACACUCCCCCAGGAUGGAUGCAGAAAGAUGAUGUAAACAUGCUCAGCACAAGGAUUUUGCUUGCAGGUCAUAGGAGCUCUAAGCUACUUCUCCAUCAGCAUUUCUGACAGCCUGAUACUAUGCUCCUCCCCCAAGUUGAAGGU